rnacentral:misc_RNA from 1 species
UAAAGGCUUAGUUGAGUUGAGUUACAGGAAUAAUUGUAAAUGGAAGAUUAAUCUUCAAUUUGACAACCCCAAAAUAAAAAAGCGAAAGACCACUACUUGACUUUGAAUGUACACUGGUUUGGCUUGUCCGUUGUUGACAUAUUUCAUAGUCAACUUUCAAGGCAUCAAAUUUAGGUACACAUCUCUGCAAGACACCAAGUUAAACUGCCUAGCCAACCAAAAAAAGGUGUGAUAGAACUCACCAAACAGGAAAGAUCAAGGGGUUUAAAUGUUUAUAUGUUGCAGUUGGAAGACAUCAUCAUACUCUUACUAAUGAUUCAUUAUGUUUCAACGGUAAUGUUCCUCUUUCACAUUCGUAUCAUGAAAACUACUAUGGCGAGCAACCUUUUGAAAUUAUUGUUGAUCCACUCAUAAAGCUGGGUGUGAAACGCUUUGAAUACUGAAGAGUAAUCUAAGACAAAUCUGAUAGGUUGACACCAAACAGUGAUUUUCGCAUUACAUGAUGGUAUAGAUGAAAACUGUUGGAAUAUCACUUGUGGGA